GAGCUCAAAUUUAACAUCUGGCCGUCCCUGUGGCUGUCCGAGUUGUAAUCUAGAGAAGUGCUAUCCGCGCUGGACCGUGUACAAGUCUCCUGGAACGGAGCGUCAUAGAGGGUGAGAAUCCCGUCUUUGACACGGACUACCAGGGCUUUUGUGAUGCGCUCUCAAAGAGUCGAGUUGUUUGGGAAUGCAGCUCUAAAUGGGUGGUAAAUUCCAUCUAAAGCUAAAUAUUGGCGAGAGACCGAUAGCGAACAAGUACCGUGAGGGAAAGAUGAAAAGAACUUUGGAAAGAGAGUUAAACAGUACGUGAAAUUGUUGAAAGGGAAACGCUUGAAGUCAGUCGCGUUGGCCAGGGAUCAGCCUUGCUCUUUUGCUUGGUGUACUUCCUGGUUGAUGGGUCAGCAUCUAUUUUGACUGGUGGAUAAAGGUCAGGGGAAUGUGGCAUCUUCGGAUGUGUUAUAGCCCUUGGUUGCAUACAUCGGUUGGGAUUGAGGAACUCAGCACGCCGCAAGGCCGGGUUUUUAACCACGUACGUGCUUAGGAUGCUGGCAUAAUGGCUUUAAUCGACCCGUCUUGAAACACGGACCAAGGAGUCUAACAUGCACGCGAGUGUUUGGGUGGAAAACCCGAGCGCGUAAUGAAAGUGAAAGUUGAGAUCCCUGUCGCGGGGAGCAUCGACGCCCGGACCAGACCUUUUGUGACGGUUCCGCGGUAGAGCGUGUAUGCUGGGACCCGAAAGAUGGUGAACUAUGCCUGAAUAGGGUGAAGCCAGAGGAAACUCUGGUGGAGGCUCGCAGCGAUUCUGACGUGCAAAUCGAUCGUCGAAUAUGGGUAUAGGCGCGAAAGACUACUCGAACCAUCUAGUA
rnacentral:rRNA from 1 species